AUGGCUGAUGCAGAAUCCUACAUGUUUGGGACUCAGUGAUCGGCUCCUCACGAAUGCUAGUUCGUGAUUUCACCCUUUUGAUGACUGAUGUUGAUCGAACUCCUUCGAUCGAUGUGUGCCGACUCCUCGGAUGCUUCAGAUCAUCUGCAUGGUUGGUUGAGAGUCUGAUGGAUCUCUUCCUGAAAUUUGGUGGAUUCACGACACUCGUGGCACACCAAUCUCACUUUCCGAACCCUAGGU
rnacentral:lncRNA from 1 species